rnacentral:ncRNA from 12 species
UAAAAUCUGAGGACGGAACAGGCGGCCGUCGCCAGAAAACCACAUGGUUUGAGUAGGAGAUGUGGGAAUGUCACCCCACCUAUUUUA